rnacentral:rRNA from 1 species
UACGAAGGGGGCUAGCGUUGUUCGGAAUUACUGGGCGUAAAGCGCACGUAGGCGGCUUUGUAAGUUAGAGGUGAAAGCCCAGGGCUUAACCCUGGAAUUGCCUUUUAAGACUGCAUCGCUAGAAUCGUGGAGAGGUAAGUGGAAUUCCGAGUGUAGAGGUGAAAUUCGUAGAUAUUCGGAAGAACACCAGUGGCGAAGGCGACUUACUGGACACGUAUUGACGCUGAGGUGCGAAAGCGUGGGGAGCAAACGG